AUUGAACGCUGGCGGCAGGCCUAACACAUGCAAGUCGAACGAGUGGCGGACGGGUGAGUAAUGUCUGGGAAACUGCCCGAUGGAGGGGGAUACCUACUGGAAACGGUAGCUAAUACCGCAUACCAUCGGAUGUGCCCAGAUGGGAUUAGCUAGUAGGUGGGUUAACGGCUCCCCUAGGCGACGAUCCCUAGCUUGUCUGAGAGGCUGACCAGCCACACGGGAACUGAGACACGGUCCAGACGCCGACGGGAGGCAGCAGUGGGGAAUAUUGCACAAUGGGCGCAAGCCUGAUGCAGCCAUGCCGCGUGUAUGAAGAAGGCCUUCGGGUUGUAAAGUACUUUCAGCGAGGAGGCGUUACUCGCAGAAGAAGCACCGGCUAACUCCGUGCCAGCAGCCGCGGUAAUUC
rnacentral:rRNA from 1 species